UACGUAGGGGGCAAGCGUUGUCCGGAUUUAUUGGGCGUAAAGAGCUCGUAGGUGGUUCGGUAAGUCGGAUGUGAAAUCUCCAGGCUCAACCUGGAGGGGUCAUUCGAUACUGCCGUGACUAGAGUUCGGUAGGGGAGUGUGGAAUUCCUGGUGUAGCGGUGAAAUGCGCAGAUAUCAGGAGGAACACCGGUGGCGAAGGCGGAUCUCUGGGCCAUUACUGACGCUGAGGAGCGAAAGCGUGGGGAGCGAACAGG
rnacentral:rRNA from 1 species